AUGGAACAUGCGCAGUAUCAACUGACUGGCCCUACGAUGGGCCAAUGGGAAGAGGAAAGUGCUUCCGUUGGCCUGGUUAGCAGAGGAGGCAGGAAGACAAGGGCGCAGUAAUUCCGAGUUUCUAGUUGGGUGGGAAAUUUCUGGGUUCACCUCGGAGAAGGAGUAAGGCGGAUAAAUGCCUAAAUUAAACCGCCAGAAUCCACCCUGCAAUUCAAAAACUACAGACCAGCUGUCUCCAGAUAUGACUUAGGUGCAGUACUAAAGAGUUUGCAUGUAUUAUUUAAUCUUCACAGCCCAAGUUAAGGUACUAUGUCAUGAAGAAUUGUGCCAGAAAAUUAUAUUUUGAAGAUGGCCCUUUUCCUCUACUAUCAGUAAUAUCUGCAAGCACCAUUUGAGGUUUACUGGAAGCUAGCUGCUGUCAGUCCCUUCCCUGAGAAAUCUCCUGUUCCUUAUGGUUCCUAGCCUGAUGAAGUCACCACUGGGUUUCCAUCCAAGCCAGGCUCACCAUUGUUUUUUUGUGAAAAGGAAGGCUUGGACCAGGCUUGAGGGCUCAAAGGCUGGGUGUUGCUGUCUGCAGAUGGAAUCUUUGCUAGAGCUUUCAACCACAACACCUGCAUGUGGUUUUUCCACUUAUUAUGGGCUUUCUCAGAGUACAGUGUGGCUAUCUUCUGAGGGAGAGCAUCCUGAGAGUCAGCCAAAAGCUGUAUUGCCAUUUCUACACCAUCCUUGAAAGUCAUACAGCAUCACUUUAUAUACUCUCUAUUGGCUGGAAAGAAGUCUAAAGCUGGCCCAUAUUCAAGAAAAAGGGAACUACAUUCCAACUUUUGAUGGGAAAACUGUCAGAGAUUUUUUUAUAUGUUUUAAAACUACCACUUCCCAAAAAGAUGCAAGUAGAAAAGGAAUAGCAUAUGUUGUUUUGUAUUUAGAGAGGCUGAUACUCUUCAGUAACAGUCCCUCAUCUAGGUAUACAGCCAAAGAAAAUGAAAUUAGCACCUUGUAGAGACAUCUGCACUACCAUGUUCAUCGCAGCACUAUUCAUAGCCAAGAAAUUGAAACAACCUAAAUGUCUAUGACUGAAUAAAGAAAUUAUGAUUAUGUUAUACAGAAAAAAAUUAUUUAGCUUACAAAAAGAAGAUUCUACCAUUUGUGACAACAUAGCUGAAGUGGAAGGACACUUGGUGAAAUAAGCCAGACAAAAUUACUGCAUGAUCUCACUCCUUUCUCCUUUUUCAGUACUGGGGAUAGAACCCAGGGCCCCACACAUGCAGGGAAAGUGUUUUACCACUGAACUACAUCCCCAGUCCUGCAUGACCUCUCAUAUAUGGAAUCAAAAAUAUCUCCAACAACUUGAAUACAUAGAGAAAAUAGACAAAUAGUUACUAGAGGAAAGAGGAAGGGUUUUGGGGAUAUGCAGGACAAUGUGUACAAAGUAACAGUUACAGUGGAUAAAACAUGUUAUAUAGUUACGUAGGACAUCUAAAGUCUAGCACAAGGACUAUGGCUAAUAUUGUACACUGUACUAGAAAUUUUCUGCCAGAUUUUAGGUACUCACACAGACACACAUGCACACACAUGCACACCACACAGCUGUGACUUAAUAUUUAUGUUAAAUUGCUUACCUAUAAUAAUAAUUUCACUACUUAUAUGUAUGUUAAGACAUAUUUGUAAAAUAAGACAAAAUUUUAAAGAAAUGAGUAAAAGAGUGAUUAAAGGGUCUACCCUCCCACACAAAAAAGUGAAAGGAUUCAAAAUCUGUAUUAGAUUCUGACAUGUCAGAGCUACGUGAAGAUGGAAUGUUAAUUGAUAUUUUGUAGUUCUAUAGACAGUUUUACAAGUAUUAUAUGUAUGUAGAGGUGCUAUUCAAUUACUAAUGAAGUAUUCUGCUUUAUACAAUUAUAAAAACAUGGUCUCUAAAUCUAAUGUAUUAUAGAAUCAAGUAUUUAAAUAACAGUUCUGUAGCACUCUUUCUCUACAUUGUGACAUCUAACAUUUGUUGUUUGCUUAUUUUUUCAUAAUUCAUAAAGGAUGGUGUUCCUAUUUGUUUUUAGAACUUUGUAUGGGUAAAAUGUUUAUGCCGUGCUCCUUUUGCCCCCUAGUGGUGUUUUAUGUCUUCGUUCCAUACCAUAUUUACAUACAAUUUCCAAACCUUUAGGAAUGAAAGCAGGAAGAGCAUAAUUUCACCCCUGCCACAUACACUUCAUUUUACAGAUGGGGAACAUAAGAUCUAGAAAAUUUGCAGGCCUUGUUUGAUGUCACACGUUUAGCUAGAACGAAAAGUUAUGUGUUACUCUUCCCUCACACCUUAUUAGAUAUAAGGCCCAGAGAGACAGGGCAGUCUUGUUUAUUGAAGAACAGAAGAGUGCCUAGCAAGUAGUAGGUGUUCAGAAAAUAUUUGCUUCCAAGUUUUAGCUAUUGUAUGCUGCUGUGAAAAUAGAUAUGCAAAUUUAUUUGUAACCUUGAUUUGAAUUCUUUCAUACAUAUAACCAGAAGUGCUGGAUCAUAUGGUAAUUCUAUUUUUAAUUUAUUGAGAAAGUGCCAUUUUGUUUUCCAUAGCAGCUACACCAUUUUACAUCACCAACAAUAGUGUACAAAGGUUCUUAUUUCUUCACAUCCUGGCUCAUGCUUGUUUUUUGUUUUGUUUUGUUUUUGUUUUUUUGGUUUUUAUUUUUAUGGCAGUCUUCUUGAUGGGGGUGAGGUGAUCUCUCAUUGUGGUUUUGAUUAGCAUUUCCUUAAAGAUUGGUGAUGUGGAGAACUUCUUCAUAUGCUUCUUGACCUUUUGUAUCUUCUUUGGAGAAAUUUUUUGUCAAGUUCUUUGCUGUAAAAAGACAUGUUUAUCUAUUGCUUUCUUUUAGCAGUAUGAUAAAAGCCAUUGCCUUUUGUUUGCUAUAUUGUUUAUCUGAG
ensembl:lncRNA